GGAAGGAUCAUUAUCAAAAAUUUCAAUUUUUGAAUAAUUCACUUAAACCCCUGUGUACCUAUUCUCUGUUGCUUCCACUGGACAGGUGUAUUGUUGGAACUUUCAGCAGUAUUUGCCCUUCAAGUCUCUCACAUUUGAGCUUGGAGAAUUGCCAGUGGAUAGCCCAUUUCAAUAUAAAAAUUGAUUAUUGCAAGCUUUUUAUUAAAUAAGUCUGAAAAGAUAUUAAAAGAAAACAAAAAAAAACUUUCAACAACGGAUCUCUAGGCUCUUGCAUCGAUGAAGAACGCAGUGAAAUGUGAUAAGUAAUGUGAAUUGCAGAAUCUCGUGAAUCAUUGAAUUUUUGAACGCAUAUUGCGCCCUAUGGUAUUCCAUUGGGCAUACCUGUUUGAGUGUCAGAAUCCUUCUAAACUAUCAAACUUGUCCUUCUGGAGAUGUUUGGAAUAUAUUGAGAGAUGUAAUAAUAAUUCUUAAUGUUACUCUUUUAAAAAUAAGAAGUUCAAAGCAGAUUUUCUCCAAAUCUCAUUUUGUAUGUGAUUUUCUUUUUAAUCAUAAAACAGUGAGUUUGAGAAAUUGGCUUUAGAAGUAAAAUGUAUAGAAAUUUUUGGUAUGACCUCAAAUCAGGUAGGGAUACCCGCUGAACUUAAGCAUAUCAAUAAGCGGAGGAAGAGAAACCAACAGGGAUUGCCUUAGUAACGGCGAGUGAAGUGGCAAAAGCUCAGAUUUGAAAUCUGGUGUUUUUAUAGGCACCUGAGUUGUAAUCUGUAGAGGAGUUUUCGGAGGAUGACUAUGGUUAAAGUUCCUUGGAAAAGGGCAUCAUAGAGGGUGAGAAUCCUGUUUAUGACCUUAGUACUUCUCCAUUAUGAAUCUCCUUCAAUGAGUCGAGUUGUUUGGGAAUGCAGCUCUAAAUGGGUGGUAAAUUCCAUCUAAAGCUAAAUAUUGGCAAGAGACCGAUAGCGCACAAGUAGAGUGAUCGAAAGAUGAAAAGAACUCUGAACAGAGAGUUAAAGAGUACGUGAAAUUGUUGAAAGGGAAGCACUUGUGACCAGAUGAAUUUGCAAUUAAUCAGCCAUCAAUUUUUGGUGGUGCACUUAAUUGUAAGUGGGUUAGCAUCAGUUAUAGCAGUGGGAAAAAGACCGAGGAAAUGUAGCUCCUCUUUGAGGAGUGUUAAUUAGUCCUUGGUUUAAUACCGCUUAUUAUGACUGAGGAUUGCGCUUUGAGCAAGGAUGCUGACAUAAUGGUCAUAAGUGACCCGUCUUGAAACACGGACCAAGGAGUCUAACAUCUAUGCGAGUGUUUGGGUUCAAGCCCUUACGCAUAAUGAAAGUGAAUGAAGGUGGGAACCUUUGGGUGCACCAUCGACCG
rnacentral:rRNA from 1 species